rnacentral:rRNA from 1 species
GGUUAAGCGACUAAGCGUACACGGUGGAUGCCCCCGGCAGUCAGAGGCGAUGAAGGACGUGCUAAUCUGCGAAAAGCGCCGGCGAGGUGAUAUGAACCUUUGACCCGGCGAUGUCCGAAUGGGGAAACCCAGUGUGUUUCGACACACUAUCGUUAACUGAAUACAUAGGUUAACGAGGCGAACCGGGGGAACUGAAACAUCUAAGUACCCCGAGGAAAAGAAAUCAACCGAGAUUCCCCCAGUAGCGGCGAGCGAACGGGGAGCAGCCCGGAGUCUGAAUCAGCUUGUGUGUUAGUGGAACGGUCUGGAAAGUCCGACGGUACAGGGUGAUAGUCCCGUACACGAAAACACACUUGCUGUGAACUCGAAGAGUAGGGCGGGACACGUGGUAUCCUGUCUGAAUAUGGGGGACCAUCCUCCAAGGCUAAAUACUCCUGACUGACCGAUAGUGAACCAGUACCGUGAGGGAAAGGCGAAAAGAACCCCGGCGAGGGGAGUGAAAAAGAACCUGAAACCGUGUACGUACAAGCAGUGGGAGCCUCUUUAUGGGGUGACUGCGUACCUUUGUAUAAUGGGUCAGCGACUUAUAUUCUGUAGCAAGGUUAACCGUAUAGGGGAGCCGAAGGGAAACCGAGUCUUAACUGGGCGUUAAGUUGCAGGGUAUAGACCCGAAACCCGGUGAUCUAGCCAUGGGCAGGUUGAAGGUUGGGUAACACUAACUGGAGGACCGAACCGACUAAUGUUGAAAAAUUAGCGGAUGACCUGUGGCUGGGGGUGAAAGGCCAAUCAAACCGGGAGAUAGCUGGUUCUCCCCGAAAGCUAUUUAGGUAGCGCCUCGUGAACUCAUCUUCGGGGGUAGAGCACUGUUUCGGCUAGGGGGCCAUCCCGGCUUACCAACCCGAUGCAAACUACGAAUACCGAAGAAUGUUAUCACGGGAGACACACGGCGGGUGCUAACGUCCGUCGUGAAGAGGGAAACAACCCAGACCGCCAGCUAAGGUCCCAAAGUCAUGGUUAAGUGGGAAACGAUGUGGGAAGGCACAGACAGCCGGGGAUGUUGGCUUAGAAGCAGCCAUCAUUUAAAGAAAGCGUAAUAGCUCACUGGUCGAGUCGGCCUGCGCGGAAGAUGUAACGGGGCUAAACCAUGCACCGAAGCUGCGGCAGCGACACUAUGUGUUGUUGGGUAGGGGAGCGUUCUGUAAGCCGUUGAAGGUGUGCUGUGAGGCAUGCUGGAGGUAUCAGAAGUGCGAAUGCUGACAUAAGUAACGAUAAAGCGGGUGAAAAGCCCGCUCGCCGGAAGACCAAGGGUUCCUGUCCAACGUUAAUCGGGGCAGGGUGAGUCGACCCCUAAGGCGAGGCCGAAAGGCGUAGUCGAUGGGAAACAGGUUAAUAUUCCUGUACUUGGUGUUACUGCGAAGGGGGGGACGGAGAAGGCUAUGUCAGCCGGGCGACGGUUGUCCCGGUUUAAGCAUGUAGGCGGAGGUUCCGAGGUAAAUCCGGUACCUUAUUAACGCUGAGGUGUGAUGACGAGGCACUACGGUGCUGAAGUGAUAAAUGCCCUGCUUCCGAGGAAAAGCCUCUAAGCAUCAGGUAACACGAAAUCGUACCCCAAACCGACACAGGUGGUCAGGUAGAGAAUACCAAGGCGCUUGAGAGAACUCGGGUGAAGGAACUAGGCAAAAUGGUGCCGUAACUUCGGGAGAAGGCACGCUGAUAUGUAGGUGAAGUCCCUGCGGACGGAGCUGAAAUCAGUCGAAGAUACCAGCUGGCUGCAACUGUUUAUUAAAAACACAGCACUGUGCAAACACGAAAGUGGACGUAUACGGUGUGACGCCUGCCCGGUGCCGGAAGGUUAAUUGAUGGGGUUAGCGGCAACGCGAAGCUCUUGAUCGAAGCCCCGGUAAACGGCGGCCGUAACUAUAACGGUCCUAAGGUAGCGAAAUUCCUUGUCGGGUAAGUUCCGACCUGCACGAAUGGCGUAAUGAUGGCCGGGGCUGUCUCCACCCGAGACUCAGUGAAAUUGAACUCGCUGUGAAGAUGCAGUGUACCCGCGGCAAGACGGAAAGACCCCGUGAACCUUUACUAUAGCUUGACACUGAACACUGGUCCUUGAUGUGUAGGAUAGGUGGGAGGCUUUGAAGCGUGGACGCCAGUCUGCGUGGAGCCAUCCUUGAAAUACCACCCUUUAAUGGCUGGUGUUCUAACGUAGACCCGUGAUCCGGGUUGCGGACAGUGUCUGGUGGGUAGUUUGACUGGGGCGGUCUCCUCCCAAAGAGUAACGGAGGAGCACGAAGGUUGGCUAAUCCUCGGUCGGACAUCAGGAGGUUAGUGCAAUGGCAUAAGCCAGCUUGACUGCGAGCGUGACGGCGCGAGCAGGUGCGAAAGCAGGUCAUAGUGAUCCGGUGGUUCUGAAUGGAAGGGCCAUCGCUCAACGGAUAAAAGGUACUCCGGGGAUAACAGGCUGAUACCGCCCAAGAGUUCAUAUCGACGGCGGUGUUUGGCACCUCGAUGUCGGCUCAUCACAUCCUCGGGGCUGAAGUAGGUCCCAAGGGUAUGGCUGUUCGCCAUUUAAAGUGGUACGCGAGCUGGGUUUAGAACGUCGUGAGACAGUUCGGUCCCUAUCUGCCGUGGGCGCUGGAGAAUUGAGGGGGGCUGCUCCUAGUACGAGAGGACCGGAGUGGACGCAUCACUGGUGUUCGGGUUGUCAUGCCAAUGGCACUGCCCGGUAGCUAAAUGCGGAAGAGAUAAGUGCUGAAAGCAUCUAAGCACGAAACUUGCCCCGAGAUGAGUUCUCCCUGAGACCUUGAGUCUCCUGAAGGAACGUUGAAGACGACGACGUUGAUAGGUCGGGUGUGUAAGCGCAGCGAUGCGUUGAGCUAACCGAUACUAAUGAACCGUGAGGCUUAACCUU